rnacentral:rRNA from 1 species
GAUGAACGCUGGCGGCGUGCCUAAUACAUGCGAGUCGAGCGAACGGACGAGAAGCUUGCUUCUCUGAUGUUAGCGGCGGACGGGUGAGUAACACGUGGAUAACCUACCUAUAAGACUGGGAUAACUUCGGGAAACCGUAGCUAAUACCGGAUAAUAUAUUGAACCGCAUGGUUCAAAAGUGAAAGACGGUCUUGCUGUCACUUAUAGAUGGAUCCGCGCUGCAUUAGCUAGUUGGUAAGGUAACGGCUUACCAAGGCAACGAUGCGUAGCCGACCUGAGAGGGUGAUCGGCCACACUGGAACUGAGACACGGUCCAGACUCCUACGGGAGGCAGCAGUAGGGAAUCUUCCGCAAUGGGCGAAAGCCUGACGGAGCAACGCCGCGUGAGUGAUGAAGGUCUUCGGAUCGUAAAACUCUGUUAUUAGGGAAGAACAAAUGUGUAAGUAACUAUGCACGUCUUGACGGUACCUAAUCAGAAAGCCACGGCUAACUACGUG